CGGCGGGUGGGCGGGGCUUCCACGGAGGCCUCCGUGUAGGCCGCAGUGAAGCCUGAACUCGAGUAGGGCCCAAGCCAGCCAGGAAGGAGGAGGCAGCCGGAGUGUUCUCUGCAGCAGAAGACCCCUUGCUGCCCUGCUUAACCCAGACCAGCAUUUGCCAGGUGCUGCGAUAAAGAAUGGAAUCCAAGAAGGCUGGACCCUUAAAGGGUCAGUCGAAGGAGGAAGUGAAAGGACGGCCCCUUUUACAAAGGGGGUUAACUGCCCCACCCCCCUUUUCAACAGCUGCUUCUGACAGAGCUAUGAUUUGGGAGGCAGCUUGUCAAUCUACAGGAAUCCCGCACAAUAUAAGGUCUCUUCUGCCAUCUCACAGGGAUGUGUCACUCAUUACAGCAAAGAUAGGCCCCUGCAUUUCUAUGAAACAACCACGUUUUCUGAAGAGCUUGAAAAACAUUUGUAUGUCUCACAGCACGAAGUAAAGACACUCCAGGGAGCUUCUGUCAGUUACAUGUGAGUAUCUCCUGCAUCUUCUCACAUGCAAUUGUCCUUUUAAAGAUGACAGGAAAGCUGCAGUCAACCCAUGGCUGUUCUCAUGCACAACCUAACCCAGGCUAGG